rnacentral:rRNA from 1 species
AUUGAACGCUGGCGGCAUGCCUUACACAUGCAAGUCGAACGGCAGCACGGGGCAACCUGGUGGCGAGUGGCGAACGGGUGAGUAAUGCAUCGGAACGUACCUUUCAGUGGGGGAUAACGUAGCGGAAGUUACGCUAAUACCGCAGAUUCUGUGAGCAGGAAAGCCGGGGAUCGCAAGACCUUGCGCUGAUCGAGCGGCCGAUGUCAGGUUAGCUAGGUGGGGAGGUAAAGGCUCACCAAGGCGACGAUCUGUAGCGGGUCUGGGAGGAUGAUCCGCCACACUGGAACUGGGACACGGUCCAGACUCCUACGGGAGGCAGCAGUGGGGAAUUUUGGACAAUGGGGGCAACCCUGAUCCAGCCAUGCCGCGUGAGUGAAGAAGGCCUUCGGGUUGUAAAGCUCUUUCGGCCGGGAAGAAAUCGCACGGGCUAAUACCCUGUGUGGAUGACGGUACCGGAAUAAGAAGCACCGGCUAACUACGUGCCAGCAGCCGCCGUAAAAC